GCCAGAAAUCAGAAAAACAAUGUCUUAAGUUUUGAAAAAGCAUUUUGACAUGUAUUUUUUCCCCAAUGUUUCUUGGCAGGAAUGAAGCCAGUACCAUCCAAUUAUUUCUCCACUCAUAUCAGAUUAAUCUACAGACCUCCACGGGCAAAAUUCUUUCUUCUAGAUGCAUAUUUAAUAAGCAAAACUAACACUUUAUCACAAAGUAACUUACAUUUUAAGGUUGACGUGAAUUUAAAUCAUGUUCAAAUCCUGUUAAAGCUGACAAACCCCUGAGUUUGCAAUGCAACAAAAUGUUGUAAGACGUACAGUAUCAAGUCUAGUUAGCACACCAGAAUAAUGCUAUAUUAGAUAGACUGUGUUUAGGCAGUGCUAAAUACUACAAAAAUAAAAAAGCAAGACAUUACAGAGCACAAAUUACACUGAUUAAUAUUAAAUAAUACAAAAUAUCCAUUUUCUAUCUGAUUUAUCCAAUGCAGGGUCAUGGGGGAGCCGGAGCCUAUCCCAGGAAGCAAUGGGGGAAAGGCACGAUAUUCUCUGGAUGGGAUGCCAGUUUUCCCAAUUUCCCAAUUUACCUACCAAUUCCCAGGCACAGCACUGCAGGAAGAGGAGUUAAGGAGGGAAUGCCUGAGGCCGAGGAGCUCCCCAGAGUCUGGACUGGAAACAUGGGGCUGGAACACGAGAACAGCAGUCAUACCAUGAAGGUCGCAGGUCCCGGAAAAGACUAAAAAAAGAACCAUCAGGAAUGCACCUGUGGAGCUUGGCAGCUCCCAUCUCUGUAAAGACCUCCACAUACUCCAGAACUGUCAGCCAGGUGAGGAGCCUCUGCUGGGAGAGAGACUGGA